GAAAUGCGAUAAGUAAUGUGAAUUGCAGAAUUCAGUGAAUCAUCGAAUCUCUGAACGCACAUUGCGCUCGCCAGUAUUCUGGCGAGCAUGCCUGUUCGAGCGUCAUUUCAACCAUCAAGCUCUGCUUGCGUUGGGGAUCCGCGGCUGCCCGCGGUCCCUCAAAAACAGUGGCGGGCUCGCUAGUCACACCGAGCGUAGUAACUCUACAUCGCUAUGGUCGUGCGGCGGGUUCUUGCCGUAAAACCCCCAAUUUCUAAGGUUGACCUCGGAUCAGGUAGGGAUACCCGCUGAACUUAAGC
rnacentral:misc_RNA from 1 species